rnacentral:rRNA from 1 species
CCUACGGGAGGCAGCAGUGGGGAAUAUUGGGCAAUGGGCGCAAGCCUGACCCAGCAACGCCGCGUGAAGGAAGAAGGCUUUCGGGUUGUAAACUUCUUUUCUCAGGGACGAAGCAAGUGACGGUACCUGAGGAAUAAGCCACGGCUAACUACGUGCCAGCAGCCGCGGUAAUACGUAGGUGGCAAGCGUUAUCCGGAUUUACUGGGUGUAAAGGGCGUGUAGGCGGGAAAGCAAGUCAGAUGUGAAAACCAUGGGCUCAACCUGUGGCCUGCAUUUGAAACUGUUUUUCUUGAGUACUGGGGAGGCAGACGGAAUUCCUAGGGUAGCGGUGAAAUGCGUAGAUAUUAGGAGGAACACCAGUGGCGAAGGCGGUCUGCUGGACAGCAACUGACGCUGAGGCGCGAAAGCGUGGGGAGCAAACAGGAUUAGAUACCCGUGUAGUC